CUUCUUUCCAGAGCUUCAGUUCUUUAGACUGGGAGGCACAUGUCAGACGUCUUUUGACAACAGCUUUGCACCUGUUUUUUGCUGUUGUGUCUAGCAGAUGGAUCUACCCACGGAUCUUUCGUCCAGGUUAUGGAUGCUUAUUAUUAUUAUUAUUUUUAUGUGGAUUUUGAUCAGCCUCGUCUUCAUCUUGAUCAACAAGUGCAUUUCAAAGGCAGGAAAACUCAGAAUCGCAGAGCUCCAGAGAAUGUCUGGCUUCUCCACCAAGAGCAAUCAAUACCAGGGGGGCGAGUAUGUUUCGGAGAUCCCACCUUUACCUCCUCGGACACAGUUUCUCCUCACAGAGGCCCAAAGUUAUGAGAACCUGGACGCCGCAGAUGAUCAGACUGAUCGGACUGAUCAGACUGAUCAGAUCGUCCACGAGCAGGACGUCCCAGACUACGAGCAGGACGUCCCAGACUACGAGCAGGUUGACCAGGACGUCCCAGACUGCGAGCAGGACGUCCCGGAGUACGAGCAGGACGUCUCAGACUACGAGCAGAUUGACCAGGACGUCGCAGACUACGAGCAGGACAAGCAGUCCGACUCUUUGAAGGCGGUGGGUGAGGACGAGCCUCUCCCUCUGAUUCCACGGUACCCAGAUCUAGAUCCAGCAGCAGACAGUUUCUCAGAGGACGACUACGACGACAUCGGGGGUGAAGAUGAAACCGAGGGGGAAGAGGACUACGACGAUGUGGCUUAGGACCACAAGAGAACGGGAGAGAGAUCAUUCAAGUAAAGACGCUGUCAACCCUCUGGAUCAGAACGAAGUCCCCCGGGCAGGUGGAAGGUUUUCAUGUGUUUCAUAAGUAGAAGGGGUGGUUGUCUGUAGUUAAUGUGUGGUUUUCAAGGACAAAGAAGAGGCAGAACACAUACGUGACUCAUUUUCCAGGCAAAGGAUGUGGUCAGUUUAAUCUACAGGAAUACUUCAUAUUCUAAUCAUCCAUGUUUGUAGCGUCUAAAAAGAACAACCUGCCUGUUUUCAGCUAAGAGGCUUUUUAAAAUAGUUGAUUCCAUUUAAGGGGAAGGAGGAUUUCCUUUAUCUCUUUAUUCAGUUUAUCAGAAACACUCUACAUCCGCAUCUGGACACGUGGUUUUCACUUGGCAGGAAGGGGAUGAAAAACAGUCAUCUGAAAAGAAACUAAAGCCGUCAGCGAAAUGUGGUAGAGAAAACAGUACAAUACAAUUAUGAGUAAGUACAUUAAAUAGGAAAACUUGAGUAAAAAACCUAUUGAUUGGUUUAGAAAGCAGACAAGGCUCAGAGGCAUUUCCUCCUUCUUCUUUUCUGCUGAAUCCCAAGUUUUAGAGACUCUGAUCCCGGUUUGGUUACGACUGCGUCAUCAGUCGAGCCGUCGAAGGCUUAAAAUAACUAUAAAAAAAAAAAAAUGUUUUUAUGCUGCCGUGUGGUUGACGCUGCAUUCUGAUUGUACAGCUGUUGAUUGUUGUUGCGCUUUAUGAGCUUUGACUCACCUGUCAAUGUAGCUGGGUUGCAUUUAAGUAAUUUAGCAUGUUAACAUAGUCCGUGCAUGUAGAAGUCAUGGAGUCGAACUCGCACUUGAGUAUUGUUAAAACAAUCUCUUACCCUGCUUGGAGUAAUGUCACGCUCAUCCUCCGUCUUAUACGUUCCAUCUCCACAGGGGUCGUGUCGGGCCCCUCGGGUGGCAGCAGGCCCUCAGCAGCCUCUCAGCCCGGUCGUCCUCUGUGGAUCCAAACAUUGGAUUCAAAAAGGGAAAGAAUUCUACCAAAAAACAUAGUUAUUUGAUCUCCGUUUAUGAAAAAGCGCCGUUAAGCCAGCAGUUUGGUGACCCACAUACAUAAUCUCUCACACUCUGACCACAUAAUAACAUCCUGCCAGUCAUCAGUCACUGCCUUACGUAGCCCUCGGGAAGUUUUAAUGAAUAUAAGUGGAUUUGAAUGCCUCGGUUUAGGAUUAAGUGAUCUGACGGCGCUCCAAAGAGACAAUGCAGGAAAAGAAAAAGCUGGGGGAAAAAAAAGAGGGGAAAUUUUUUUGGGGGAAAAAAAUCCAGCGAAAACAGGAAGGUCACUGAGGUUAAACAAUUUAAAAAUGUGAAGAAAAAGACAAGAUUCUUUCCUUUUUUCUUUUUUACAGUCUGUGCUGGCAUUGUCCACUGUGCAGCUGAUUGAUGGAAUACUUAACUAAUAAUAUAUUAUUUAGCACAUGAAAAUAUAUUAAAAUGUUUUUUUGAUGGAUUUAACACAUUAUAAUGUACUUGUCAGUGUAUAUUUAGUGUGUAUUAAUGUGCUGUGAUUGCCAACAAUCAUAACCACGUAAGACAGUUAUAUUUUCAUGUAGUUCAGGAAGAGUUUGGAUUGUUUACCACAUUAAUAGAAGGAUUUGUCUUAUAAUUAGGUUCAUAUAGUUAUUGGCUCUCUAACAGAAAACAUUUUCGUAGGAAAAUCUUUCGUUUUUCACAAGGACUUUAAUUUUGAAGAAUCUAAAACGGAAGUGUAGCUGUAGCUAAAGGUGUGGGUUUGAAACAGCAAGCCCACGCUUUCUUUUUUGAAAAUUCGUAUAAAUAUUAGAUUGUGUUGAUAGAUGAGAGGAGACAAUGCUGUUUGAAAAAGAGUUCAAAAGGAAUAUUGACUCCUAAAAAACUUUAUUUUAUGUUAAAAACGUGCAUCUUUAUCAACACUAUUACAGCAACAGAUAGAAAUAUAUAAACGUCCAAUUCGAUUCAAUUUUAAAAAUACCAUCAGAAAUUAUAUGCAAAAAAACAAUAAACAACCACAUACCACGGUGAAAACACAAAUGUACUUUCCGUUACAGUAUUAUCUGUUUUAUCAGAGGCUUAUAUUAUUUUGGGAUAUUUUUAUUGCCUGAUUUUGUUGGUCUCAAUGUUGUCCUGAAAUGUUUUAAUCCCAGUUUAACCACCAAAGGCACUUUGUUUAAAGUAUAACAUGCUGUAUGAAUUUGGUUGAUUAUUAAGAUGAUUGUUCCAAAAUUGUUUUGUGUUUUAUUCACACAAAGAUUUCACGUGUUGUGGAUAAAAUGUUCAAUGUAUUUUAGAAGUGCAGCAUAAUAUUUAGUUUACCUAAGCGUAGUGUGUAGCAACCUGACAUCCUGCCUGUACAGAUAAAACGUGAUUUGCUUUUUAAUAAUAGUUAUGGGAUGCACCAUGAUGUAAUAAAUAAAACGUAACGAUAGAGCUAUUUAUAAAACAAUGCAGUUCCGGUUUUAAAGCUGUAUUUGGUGGUACAAGUGAAAGUUGUUACGUUAAUUGUUGCUAUUGUUACAGUGACUUUCCCCUCUACUGUUUAACAGUUUAAUUUGGUGUGUUUCCUUCCUCCUUAAAUAUGAAUGAUACUAUCUGAACGGUUGUAUGAAUUGUUGGUGUCUUUUCUUAUUAGAAUAAAUUCUUUGCAC
ensembl:lncRNA